rnacentral:rRNA from 1 species
GGGUCAGUAGGCUGGUCGUGCCACCGGUACGUACUGGUCUCACUGAUUCCUCCUUCCUGAAGAACCGUAAUGCCAUUAAUUUGGUGUUGCGGGGAAACAGGACCGUUACUUUGAGAAAAUUAGAGUGUUUAAAGCAAGCUAACGCUUGAAUACAUUAACAUGGAAUAAUGAAAUAGGACGAUCGAUCCUAUUUUGUUGGUUUCUAGGAUUGACGUA